CGGUCAAUAAUGAUGGCAAGACUCAACAGUCUAGACUAGGCUUCUGUUUCAGUGACCUGCCAGGCAUCAGUUAUUAUUAAGUAUGCUGCUAACUUGCCAACACAGAGAGUGCUUUUCUUCAUUGUUCUAACUAUGAUAGUUUUUCUGCCGCUCUUCUGAUAUUUAUUUCCCAUUAGAAAAGCUACCCUCACUCAUCGACUGAUUCUUCUUCCUGGCUUGCUGACAGUGACGAUCAAUCACCCCUCAUGCACUAGUUUGGUAAUCUUGAAAACUUAGAGCUGAAUCUGGCAUAAAGCGACACAUACGCUGUAGUCCAUCCCCCUUCCAUUCCAUUCUCCAUAUUUAUCAUAUUGUCCUGUAUUAUAUUAUUAUUAUUAGCUACUUAAACCAUCUCACAUAAACCCAGGCCGGGCUGUUCGCCCUCCAACGCAUAGCCAAUGCCAUCCACAAAUACUAGU
rnacentral:sRNA from 2 species